UACGGAGGAAGCAAACGUUGCUCGGAAUCAUUGGGCGUAAAGCGCACGUAGGCGGUCCGGUAUGUCUGAUGUGAAAGCCCUCGGCUCAACCGAGGAAGUGCAUUCGAAACUGCCGGUCUUGAGUACGGGAGAGGGAUGCGGAAUUCCCGGUGUAGAAGUGAAAUUCGUAGAUAUCGGGAGGAACACCAGUGGCGAAGGCGGCAUCCUGGACCGAUACUGACGCUGAGGUGCGAAAGCGUGGGGAGCAAACAGG
rnacentral:rRNA from 1 species